CGGGGAAAAUCACUUCUAUGACUCCCUCGCACCAUAAUUUUAAAAAGAGAAACUGGCAAUAACAUUUCAAAAAAAAAAAGAAAAUACAAGGGCAGAGGGGAAGAAAAGAAAGGAUCACAAGAGAGAGCGCAAGGAAAAAACGAGAGCACACAGUCAUAGCAAAGAAUACAUCAAGGGCACCGAAAGAGAGCUUUGGGUACUAAGUUUCACCUACAACAUACCAUCGUCACCAAUCACCACCACUUGGGAGGAAGGGACCUCACGGCCAGAGAGGAAGAGAACCAUUUGACUUCACUGGAUUCUUUUGAAGCAGCAGAGGUAAGCUGUCGACUUUAAGCUCUUAGUCGUGUGAGAAUGCAUGCUCCUCCGUUAUAUGCCUAGAUUAUGAAUGAAAGGUUUUGUAUAUGAAUGAAUGAGGUUUGAUUGAUGUUCAUAAUUAUGCUUCUUUCGUAUGGCAAAGUUGUGAGUCAAAAUGCUUUCCUAAACAUGUUUUCAAUACCUGCAAGGUUCGUUGAGUAUUAUUAACAGUAGAGACUAGGAAUACAUCCCCAACAUCAGGACCCCAACUCCCUCUUUACUUACAUACACCCAGAAAAAAUCGAAAGAAAGAAACAUAGACAGAAUCCUUUCAUAUCAGUUUUCAUAUGAAGCAAAAGAAAACAUAAAACAAAAGCAGUUGCUCCCUCUAACAAACCAUAGAUCUCCCUCAACCUGAGUAAUAAUGUCAGCCGCAACUACCUUCAAUCUCAAGAUCAUCUUUCACCUGUAUCAAACACAAUGAACAGACCAAAUCACAGAACAGCUCACUUUGUCCUCGGCUAUAUCCCAUCGCCUGGGGAACACAUCAUCAAUUAUCGUUCUCUUACUCAUACUCCCACUCAUUCGCACACAAUACACACUCAUCGUCUCAAUCAUUUCCGAUCCCAGUAGACAAAACAUCAAAUAAAAGGCAUAAUGAGCAAAGAAAAACCCUCGAAUGGAGAGGGAGGAGCGCGACGCUGGUGGUGUUGGUGAGGGAGCGGUUCCGGCGAGGAGAGCGGCGGCUAGGUUUGUCGAUAGUGGCUGGAUUCGUUCGUGGUGGUGGAGAUUCGUCGUCACAGAACGGUCUUUCUCUCUCACGCGCAGAUUGGUCCUAUUGAUGAUUAGUGUUGUCGGCGACGCCGUGGUUGAUUCUGGCGACGGCUCCGGCAGCGGGUUGCAUCGACGGCGCGCCCCCGGUUCUCGGUCCGAGAGGUGGCGACUGGGUGCAACGCAAAUGGAAGGCGAGUGCGUCAGCCUCGCAGGCGAAGAAGAGAGGGAGAGAGAUCAGAACAGUCACCGGCGACAAUGGCCGGUGUGGUUGAUUCCGGCGACGGUGGCGGUGUGCGUGAGUGGGUGGAGGAGACGAAAUCUCCAUGGCUUGUUUUUCUCUCGCAUGGAACCCUAGCUCCUGGCUGCUCUGAUUUUGGAGCAUGCAAUGUUGAGCAAUGCCACUGAACUGAAAGAAAAGAACCAUGGGCUUAAGCUCUUGGGUAACCUUUUUAAGAAAACAAAAAAUAUCUUUAUCCUUGCACCCCUCGUUUUCAUCUGCACACCCCCUGCCCAUUCCCAUACAAAAAAAACAAACCUUUUUUUCAAACAAAAAACCUUUUGCACCCCCGUUUCCCAUCCUGACACACCCCUUUCUUUCUUUUUUUUCUUUUUUGUUCUUAGUUAGGCCUCGAGCCCAAAGGCAAUUCAGGGUCUGCUUUCUUUAUGCAGCCACUUUUUUAGUUUUUCCCUCUCCAUCGAUAUUUUGGGCCUUUUUCUUUUUUUGAUUUUUUUAAUUUCUUUUACGACUUUUAUUUGCCCUUUUGUUUCUUAUCUUAUUUCUUUUAUCUUGUUUUAUUAUUUUUUUUUUAUGUUAUUUCAUUUUAUUUUUUUAUCUUAUAUCUUUAUUUAUUUUAUUUUGUUCUAUUUUAUUUUUAUUUUUAUUUUUAGUUUCGUUUUUUUUUCUUCUCUUUUCCAAUUCAGAUAUUUACCCACUUUCCAAAUAUGUAAUUAAAAAAUAUAUUUUAAAGGUUUAAGCACGUGUGUGAUCGCACGCAUCGUCUUCGUGCUAAGACCUCUUUUUUUCCUUUUAUAAAAAAAAUUAAAAAAUAUGUUUUAAGGAUUCUAGCGCAUGUGUGAUCGCACGCAUCGUCCUUGUGCUAGAAAACCCUUUCUUUUCUAUAAAUCAAAAUUAAAUAUAUAUUUUAAGGGGUCUAACACAUGUGUGAUCACACACAUCGUCCUUGUGCUAGAAAACCUUUUCUUUUCUAUAAAUAAAAGUUAAAAAUAUAUUUUAAGGGGUCUAGUACAUGUGUGAUCACACGCAUCGUCCUUGUGCUACAAAACCCUUUCUUUUUUAUAAAUAAAAAUUAAAAAUAUAUUUUAAGGAUUCUAGCGCAUGUGUGAUCGCACGCAUCGUCCUUGUGCUAGAAGACCUUUUCUUUUUCUUACAUAAAAAUUACAAAAAAUGCCAAAACAUCAUUUCUCCAACAAGCAAUCAACUUUUCUACAAGAACUACGUAACCCUGAUUUCUCAGUCCAACUGAGAAUACGUAGGAGCAAGGUCAAUCCUUGUCGGGCACAAAAAACACAAAAAAAUAUUUUGUUUUCUUCAUAGUUUUAUUUUUUAGGGGAAAUUAAACAUUUUGCAAACCACAUUAAAUUCGCGCAUUUGAUUAAAGGUACUGCCUUCGGGCAGGCGUUGUAGGGUGCUAAUACCUUCCCUACACGUAACCGACUCCCGAACCUAAUCUUUGGUUUUCGUGGACCGUGCUUUAUCAUUUUAUGGUUUUUCCGUAGUUUUCCAGAAUAAACUAUGGUGGCGACUCCAAACUCUUUUUCAAAACCGUCUUCUUUUUUGGAUCGUCGUUGUCCCGUCGCGAUUUCCCGGUUGCGACAGACAUAUUUUCAUUGUUAGGCUUGUUGAGAUUAAUUUUCUCAUAAAAAAAAGCCAAUAUUUUCUCUAUUUUUAUCCCAUGUUAUUCCAUGAUAAAAAUAACAACAUCAUUCUAUUUUUACUUAUUUUUUCAUAUUUUGUUCUAUUGUCAUAAUUAAUUUGUAUUAAAAAUUUAAUUGACUAAUUUUAUAUUAUUUUUCUUUCUUGCAGUAUUUUUCUAGUUGCAGUUGUAGAUGUCAACAAUAUUGUGACAAACAAAUCAUUGAAGUUAGGGAAGAUUGAUGUUUUCAUGUAAAUGUUUAUAGGUUAUGUUAUGGUGAUGUACAUUCUUAACGUAUAGAUAGGAUAUAAAUGCUAUGAUUGUAUGUAUUAUCUUAUAAAGAAAUGUCAUGUCAUGAUAUGUAAUGGACGACUCAAUGAUUAUAUUUUGAAAUAUUAUUGUAUCAAUAUUUUUUAUUUAUACACUAAAGUAAAGAACAAUAUUUUUGAGACCUUUAUCUCUGUUAUAUAUAAUAGAAUCAAUAGACAGCGUAGGUUUGUAUUAAUAGAAUCAAUAUUUUACAUUUUCUUUUCAAAAAAUAUUUUAUUGAAAAAAUAUAUUUUUUUAAAAAAAAUUAGACCAAUAGAUAGCGCUUAUUUAAAAAAGUGUUAUCUAUUGGUAUCUGAUAAUAGAUGGUGCUUAUUUAAAAAAGCGCUAUCUAUUGGUGUUUGACAAUAGAUAGUGCUUAUAUAUUGUUAGACACCAAUAGAUAGCACUUUUUUUAGAAGCGCUAUCUAUUAGCGCUGACAUAGAUAGCGCUUAUGAUAAAAAAAAGCGCUAUCUAUGUACUUUUUUGUAGUAGUGAAUAUUGUCAAGGAAGAUAUCAAAGUCUUCUAGUUGUUGUUUCAUCCACAAAAUUUGGGCACAACAGUUUCCAGCUGCAAUAUAUUCAGCUUCAGUUGUAGACAAAGCUACACAUGCUUGUUUCUUUGAGUGCCAUGACACUAAAGAACAACCCAAGAAAUGACACGUUCCACUAGUACUUUUUCUAUCAAUUUUUCAACCACCAUAAUCUGAAUCAGAGUAUCUUAUUAAACUAGGUGAAGCAUCAGAGGGAUACCAAAGUCCAAAGGAAGUAGUUCCCUUAAGAUAUUUUAGAAUUCUCUUAACAAUAGUCAAAUGUGAUUCUUUAGGAUUGGGUUGGUAUCUAGCACAUACACAAACACUCUGCAUAAUAUCUGGUCUACUAGUAGUUAAGUAUAUCAAAGAUCCUAUCAUGCCUCUAAACAUGGUUUCAUUCACUCCAUUUCUAGUUUCAUCCUUAUCUAAAUAACAUGAAGUACCCAUGGGUUUACUAGCUUCUUUGCAGCUAUCCAUACCAAAUUUCCUAAGAAUUUCUCUACAGUAUUUAGUUUGGGAGAUGAAUGUUCCAUCAUUCAUUUGUUUUAUCUGUAGUCCUAAGAAAAAGUUUAACUCACCCUUCGUAGACAUCUCAAAUUCACCUUGCAUUAUUUUUGCAAACUCUUCACACAAAGAGUCAUCAGUUGACCCAAAAAUAAUAUCAUCUACAUAAACUUGAACAAUUAAAAUGUGUCUUCCUACUUUCUUAAUGAAUAAGGUUGAAUCAACCUUUCCUCUAGAAAAUUCAUUUUCAAUCAAAAAGGUACUAAGUCUUUCAUACCAAGACCUAGGUGCCUGUUUAAGACCAUAAAAGGGCCUUUUUCAAUUUGUAAACAUAAUCAGGAAAUCUAAAAUCUUCAAAGCCAGGAGUUUGACUAACAUACACUUCUUCUUUUAUAAAUCCAUUUAAAAACGCACUUUUAACAUCCAUUUGAUACAGUUUAAAUUUCAUCAAAGAUGCAUAUGCAAGUAACAAUCUAAUUGCUUCUAACCUGGCUACCGGUGCAUAAGUUUCAUCAUAAUCUAUACCUUCUUCUUGAUAGUAACCCUUAGCAACUAGGCUUGCUUUAUUCUUUGUGAUGUUUCCAUCCUCAUCAAGCUUGUUCCUGAAUACCCAUUUGGUUCCUAUGACUUGGAAUUCAUCUUGUUUUGGAAUAAGUUCCCAAACUUCAUUCCUUUCAAAUUGAUUUAGCUCUUCUUUCAUAGCAAUGCACCACUUGUCAUCUUGAAGAGCUUCCUUUAUAUUCUUAGGUUCUAUCUGAGACAUAAAAGCAACAAUUAAACAAAAAUUAUUUAAAUUGUGUCUAGUAGUUACCCCUUUUAAUAUAUCUCCUAUGAUGUUGUCCAAAGAUAGUCCUCUUGGUUGUUGAUAGCUUUUGGAAUCAACAACUUGGGGUGUUUCUUGAAGCUCCGGAGGAUAAUUCUCAUUUAGAUAUAUCUCUUCAAGGGCUUCUCUUAAGUAGUCCUCAUCACCUGCAAUGGGUUUAUUUGACUCAAGAGGAUUUACCUCAAGGUCUACAAUCUCAUCAAAGACAACAUGCAUUGAUUCUUCAAUUAUUAGUGUUCUUCUAUUGAACACUCUAUAAGCUUUGUUGGUCAAAGAAUAUCCUUGAAAAAUUGCUUCAACAGAUUUUGCAUCAAAUUUUCCAAGAUUAUCUUUUCCAUUAUUUAAGACAAAACAUUUGCAUCCAAAAAUUUUCAAAUGAGAUAUAUUUGGUUUUCUACCAUUCAACAAUUCAUAAGGAGUUAAUUUUAGAAUUGGCUUAAUAAGCAUCCUAUUUAACACAUAACAAGCAGUGCUUACUGCAUCAGCCCAAAAGUAUUUUGGCACAUUAGAUUCAUUCAUAAGCGUUCUAGCUAAUUCUUCUAAUUAUCUACUUUUCCUUUCAACAACACCAUUCUGUUGGGGAGUUCUAUGUGCAGAAAAAUUAUGUACAAUGCCAAAUUCUUCACAAAAUUUUCCAAAAGAUUCAUUUUCAAAUUCACCACCGUGAUCACUUCUCAAAGUUUUGAUUUUCAAAUCUUUUUCAUUUUGAAUACGUUUAGCAAAGGUUCUAAAUGAUUUGAAAGCUUCACUUUUCAAAGUUAAAAAGAAAGUCCAAGUAAAUCUAGAGUAAUCAUCAACAAUUACAAGAGCAUGGUAAUUUCCACCAAAACUUUUAAUUCUAGAUGGACCAAACAAGUCCAUAUGCAAAAGUUCUAAAGGUUUUGAUGUUGAAAUCNNGCUUUUAGAUGAAAAUGAAGAUUUGGUUUGUUUACCCUUUUGACAUGCAGAACAAAUUUUGUCUUUCUCAAAUUUUAGUUUAGGCAAACCAAUCACAAGAUCCUUAGAAAUUAAUUUAUUUAAAUGUUGCAUGUGAAUAUGUGCAGCUCUUUUAUGCCAUAGCCAUGGAUUUUCUUCUUUAGCAACUAAGCAUGUUAUAUUAUGACUAGAUGCACUCUCAAUAUCAAUCAAAUAUAUGUUAUUAUGCCUAACACCUUGCAAAGCAAAUGCAGCAGAAUAUUUAAAAUAAACAGUACAUUUAUCACUCUCAAAGAUUACCUUGAGACCUUUGUCGCAUAGUUGGCUUAUGCUUAGAAGGUUAUGUUUGAGGCCUUCAACGUAUAAAACGUCUUUUAUCGUCAAUGUGUUUCCUCCUCCAAUGUCUCCGGUCCCCAUUAUUCUGCCUUUUUUGUUAUCUCCAUACGUUACAAAUCCUUGCUUCUUCUUCUCAAAAGAGAUUAACCUUUUGUUGUCACCAGUCAUGUGUCUUGAGCAGCCACUGUCAAGAUACCACAAUGACUUCUUUGACUUAGAUUGUUCCUACAAAACAAGUUAGCAAGAAUUUUAGGUCCCCAAUCUCAAUAUGGGUCCUUAGGUUAGUUUUUGCAAGUUUACAUCAUUUCAGAGCUUUAACCCAUGUAUAUUUACCACUUGGAACACCAACAUGUUUAAUAUUGCACUUGUUUGAUGUGUGACCAUGCUUCAUACAGUAAAAACAACAUACAUCACUAACUUUAUUUUUAACAAAAGUUCCUUUAACAACCCAAAUUUUUCGAGUUCUUCUUACCUUGGAUUUAUAAUUUUGAUGCAUCUUUCUAUUUUUAACAUUGCUUUUAUUAAAGUUUGUUUUAGCAUGUGAAUUAGGUUUAUUUGCCUUAGCAACCAAAUUUUCAAGUAUAUCAAUAUCAAACAUAUAACUUUUGCAUGACAAGCAUUCAACAGGUUCAAUAGUAGCAUUUGCAUCUUAUAAUUUAAUUUCUAAGGUAUUAACUCUAUUUCUUAAAACAACUUCAUCAUCAAGCAGUUUAUCAUAUUUUAACUUCAAUUCAUUAUGUUCCUUUUUUAAUUUUUUAUGAGCAGCAUCAAGUUUUUCAGAUUUAUUCAUCAAAUCAAAGAAAGCCUUUUGUAAAUCUAAUUCACUGGAUUCAAAACUGGAAUCACUUACUUGGCUUCCUGUAUCUUCAGAAUCUGCCAUAAGGCAUGGGUUGGCCUCUUCUUUUGUGUCACUUGUGCUUGUUGAAUUAGAAGCAUUAUCCUCCCAAGCUAUGUAUUCUUUAUUUUUCCUUUGAAACUUUCUUUCCUUCUUGUCUUCACUUUUCUUGCUCUUUGGACACUCAGAUUUUACGUGCCCUCUUUCUCCACAACCGAAGCACUUNNNNNNNNNNNNNNNNNNNNNNNNNNNNNNNNNNNNNNNNNNNNNNNNNNNNNNNNNNNNNNNNNNNNNNNNNNNNNNNNNNNNNNNNNNNNNNNNNNNNNNNNNNNNNNNNNNNNNNNNNNNNNNNNNNNNNNNNNNNNNNNNNNNNNNNNNNNNNNNNNNNNNNNNNNNNNNNNNNNNNNNNNNNNNNNNNNNNNNNNNNNNNNNNNNNNNNNNNNNNNNNNNNNNNNNNNNNNNNNNNNNNNNNNNNNNNNNNNNNNNNNNNNNNNNNNNNNNNNNNNNNNNNNNNNNNNNNNNNNNNNNNNNNNNNNNNNNNNNNNNNNNNNNNNNNNNNNNNNNNNNNNNNNNNNNNNNNNNNNNNNNNNNNNNNNNNNNNNNNNNNNNNNNNNNNNNNNNNNNNNNNNNNNNNNNNNNNNNNNNNNNNNCAUUCUAAAUAUCUCAUAUUCCUGAAUGAGAGUGUUCUUCCUAGCUCGUUUCACGUCCUCUGUUCCUUCAUGAGUGAAACUGAGGACUUCCCACAUUUCCUGUGCUGUCUUACACACUGAAAUUCUAUAAAAUUCAUCAAGUACAACAACAGAUGAAAUUAUAUUGCGAGCUUUAAUAUCAAACUGAGCUCGUCUAUUUUCUUCAGUAGUCUAAUUAAAAUAAGGUUUUUCUAUCUCUACACUUUCAACAGUAUUCAUAGGAAUAUAAGGACCAUUUUGUACAGCUUCCCAGAUGCCUCUAUCAACAGUCCCCAUAAAAAUUUCCAUCUACAGCUUGAACUAUGAAUAUUCAAUAACUCUCUUAACUCAAGGAUUUUGUGAUCCAGAAAAACCAAUGUUCUUCUUAGCCCAACUUCAAUAUAAGCCAUGAAAAGUCCUUGUGAUGAUAACUUACUUGUGAGUAUGAUUAAUUAUGGUUAAAUGAAAGGCAAAGUUAAUUUGUGUGACAUUGUGAUAGUAGAGAGAAUGAGUAAUGAGUCGAUAUUUUCUUGACUGUAUUUAGUUUAUUAUGCUAGAAUUAAUCAGGAAAUUGUGCUUAAUUGUCCGGUAUUUUCCCGUUUCUCCUAAUUGUGCUUAAUUUGACCGAAAAUUCUAAUUUUAAUUAAUUUGAAUUUUUUGAGCUAAUUAAUUGCAUUAUUUAUUGCAAGAAAAUUUUGGAGAUACAAUUUUGGACAUUAGAGAAGAUAUCAAUUCAUCCAAGAGUCUCCAAUUAGACAUUUUAAAUUUUAGUUAUAUUGUAAUUUAAUUGUUUAAAGUUUUUGGACAAACUUUUGCACAUUGGGCCAUUAAAAUUAUGAGGGACCCAAAGAUUGUAGGACACUGGGCACCCUAGGUAUUUUUUGUGGGACCCCACCCUCACAAUAUAGGAUAUUCGGUGCUUGAGAAAGGGCUGGCAGUCGCCCCUCUCUCUUUUGUUUUCUUUGGCUUUGAUCAUUUUUUUGAGAAGGAACUCAUGAAUGCUUGUACGCUGGUUUUCAAUGCUUGAAUGAAAGAAGGCUUUUUCUUUUUCUUUUUUUUAUUUUGUGCAGUGCUGCAACUUUUCUUUUCUUUGGAGCUUUUCAUUGAUUGAAAACGGUGCAACACAUUACGUUCUAAGAGAGUCCAGCCACCACUUACAUUGCUUUUUGGCUUGUUACUUUUUUAUUUUUUGUUUUAAGCACUUUUGCAUUGGGAAUUUUUCUCUACCUUUUGACUCCAAGCAUCAAUUACGUCUUGCACCAUUACAUAGAAAUAGGCACAUUCAAUUUGAAAGCCAUGGUCACAUCAAGCAAUUAAAUGAGAAGCACGGUUAUAACAUUUGGGAGAAUUCAUUUUCAAUUUCGUAGAGUACCUACUUUCAUUCAUUUUGUUAUUAAAUGCUUUGUAGAUUUCUUUUCUUUGGGCAUGAAGAAGUAGAUUAGGUUGAGGUCUAUGGUGAUGGGACGGUUGGGCUAUAGGUGUAGCAAUGUUUUUCUUUUACUUCUUUGAAGAAUGAUGAGGUGAUUAGAUAGGUUAGGUAUGCUUGUACGGUGGUGGUGUUGAGAGAAGAAAUUUCAUUUAUUGCUUGGAGGAAGUGGUUUACGGCUGGAAGCAAAUGAAAGCCUAUUUCUUGGAGAAUGAAAUGGGAGAUGGCAUGAAGGGAGAGUGUCUCGGUUGGAUCACCCAUUCUUUUGGGAUUUUUAAUUGGAAAAACACAUUUCUAGUAGAUGCCAUUUGCAGUUUUAAUUUCAUUUGGUAGAUGCACUUGGUCACAUAAAUUGCUAGUAGGAAAUUGUGUUUGUUUAUUUCUUUUGUUUUAAAUUAAUUUGCAUAGUAGGUUGAUUUUUUUUCAUCUCUUUAAUUUGGUGUUGCAUUUUAAUCAUUCUAAUUGAGCUAGAUAUUUGUUUGUCACAUUGUUAGGGUCUUGUAUUUUAUUUUGUUUUAAUGUUUUCUAGUAUGUUUGGUAGCGAUAAUUUAACUGUCAUGUAGUUUAGGUUAGUCAGGUUGGUCAUUAAAAAAAUUGCUUUGUUUCCUUGAGAUUUCUUAGACUGUUCUUGUGUUUAUUCUGCUCUGCCUGAUACUCUAUGAAAUCUGACUGUGUUCUUGUAAUGGGUAUACGCUUAGUUGCCCGAUUGGUGAUUUCAUCUGCGCUUAGUUGAUCAAUCUGUAUAGAACACAUUGGAUGGAAUAGGUGUAUUGCAUUCACUUAGUUCGCAAUUAUGAUAGCAUGAUUAACCUUCGCUUAGUCGGUAAGUUGUGCUGGAUUAGAGGCUAGACCAAUUUAUUCAUGAGACUCUUGCACUUUAAUUGCCAUGUUGCUGCUCUGAUUUCGCUCAAUAUUUAAUUUGUUGUGUGCCUGCGAUUAGGUAUACACUUAGUUUCCUAAUCGGUGUCAAAUCUUCGCUUAGUUGAUUAGACUGCAUGAUGGAUGACUGAUUAAAUUUGUGCAUUGCAUUCGCUUAGUCUACAAUUUUGAUGACCGAAUUAGCGUUCACUUAGUUGGGUGAUUCGUGCCGGAUUUGGAUUAGAGUAGUGUGUACUUAUUGUUAAUCUGUGAUUGGAAGCAUAGUAAUUGAGUUAAUGACCAACCGUUUUCAUUCUGCAUUUGAUUCCAUUUUUACAUCUGUGUUUGCAAUUUCAUUUUUACAUUUCUGUUGCAUCCGUGUUUUAAUUUAGUUUAUCCCCCUACUACGUGUUAGACCUAAUUCAUGAACCACAUUUGGUCCUUGAGAGACGACCUAGGAGUCACUUCCUAGUCUAUACUGCAUUCUUUUAUGCACAUUAAAUUUUGCAUGGGGUGCGACACCCAUCAGUGAUCAGGGACGGAUGUCCGAGUGGUGUCCUGCUACUCACAGUAGUAGCGCAGCUCUAAAUCUCGUCGGCGAUAACCUUACCGACGUUAACAUCCAUCUGCCUCAAUAUGCAGUAGAUGAAGAGAAUUCGGUGCAUCGUGAUGUCUGAGACAUUGGGAGCAUGGUUGUACGUUGGCAUGAGUGAAUGUCAUCCAGUACUUUGCUAGGGGAGCCAAAUCCACCCUAAGGAAGUUGACUGGCGCUCCAUUAGGGUUCCUCUGAAAGUGUCUCCCAGGGAUACACAUCACCCUCUCGAUGUCUUCAUAAUCCUUGUGCUCCCCUAUAAGAGCAGCAUACCUACACUGCUCUCCUGGCCACUCAGUCCUCAAGAAGUUGUUGAUGGUGUCAGGGUCGUAUCUGAUAAUCUGCACCCUUACGUAGCUCAUAUACCUCCCUGCUAAUACUCCUCCUCUGGUCAAGGCAUUGGCAUAAAAUUCCUUCACCAGCUCAAUGCUAGCUGGUGCAGGAUAUGUGGUCAAUCUCUCCCAGCCUCGCCUCUCUAUCUCCAGUCCAAACUCUUGAGCUAAGUCAGGAAUGUACAUGGCCUUUCUCUCCAUCAAUAAUUGCCUCUCCUGUACAGUUGCAUAAUGCUCCUCGUGCCUCUUGGAAAGGAACCUAGAAGAAUAAAAUCUCCUUGGCCUUUCUGGCUCCUUUCUGGUUCUCACUCUUUUGGAGGUAGACAUCCCUGUAUCAAAUGAAUUCAAAAACAUCAUAAAAACAUCUUUAGAGGUUAGUACAUCAUCAAUUUAAUUUCCAGAACACACAUAGUUCAGUAUUGAGGGAAAAACAGGGCCCCUAAGUGUCUGAUGGAAGAUGCCUUGAGGAGUUGACCAAUUGGCGUGACACGAAAGCAGGUAAAGCUCCUCCAAGCUUCUCCGACGAGAGAUACGCAGUGAAAAUGAGACGAAUACUUUAGAUCGAGAGAGAAAUUGGAGAGGAAUGAUAACGGUCUAAAAACCGUUAUUUUCAUGCUUAAAUUUGAUAGUAAAACACACCCUUUAUGGCUUAGAAUUAGCUUUAAAUCAAGUAAAAUACUUUGUUGUGUCUUGUGAGAGUCAAAAGUUGGUUUCAGAGAUAUUAUUGCUUGUUCAACAUUGUUUUGUAGGGUUUGUAGAUGAAUUAAAGAUGGAAGUGAAGUAAGGUGGACUUAGACCCAUUAAAGAAGGAGAAAAAUGAUGAAAAGAAGGGUCAAGCAAGCCGCUGAGCGCCAAAAUGGUCCGUUGAGCGCUCAGAGCGAUUAGAGGGAAACCGCUCAGCGGCAAACUGCUAAGUGGUGAAUUUAGGCGCCUGGGCGGUUGUCUGUUUUUUUAGCUAGAUUCUGUAAAUAUUUCUAUAAUCUAUCUGUUAUAUGCGAAUUAGAAGGGGAUUCUUUUGGCAGAGAGAAACGUCCAGAGCUAUUCCACACACCUUGGAGGAGGUUCCUUGGAUGCUUAGGCUCCAAUCAACCAAGUUUAGGGUUAUUUCUUCCCUUGUUUCAUGAUUUUCAUCUAGUUUCACCAUGAUUAUGGUGAACUAAACCCUUUGUUGUUGGGGAACUAUGUAAUCUUUUGAAACUCUCAUAUAUUCAACCUUUUAUUUAUUUCAUAUGCUUGUCAUAUACUUGUUUAUCAAUUGUUGGGUGCUCAUCUAUGCUUAAUGCUUUUAUUGUUUAACUCAUUCAGUAAAAGAAGUUUGUCUUUAUCGAUAUGGGGACGUACAAUAAUGUCAUGAACUGGCGAGAAAUUCCUUGAUUAUGCUAAUAUUGCCUAAGGAUAGGGGUAUGAUGGUCAAUUGCAUUUGCUUCCGAUCGCAUUGCAUUAUUGGUUACUAGGGGAGGCUAGGGAUAGCAAGUCGGUAAUUAAUUAUAGGCUCUUUUCACCAAGGGAUUGGGUUAAGGGUAAAUUAGAAAGUUUGCAUGAUAAAUAAGUGAAGUAAAUAAGAAGAGUAGAUACAUGAGAGUGGAUAAGAUGAAAUUGUAAACCCCAACAACAAUAUUCAACCAUAGUUUCUCAAAACCAAUUGAAUCAACUGCAUUGCAUGUUUAUUUUUGUUCUUUGCAUAUAACCACCAAAUUUAUUCUCCUCUCAAGUCUUACAAGAUUUGUUUACAUGAAAGUUAAGGCCUAAGAGUGCUUUGGGAAAACGAUACUCGAACUUACCCGUUUAUCUUACUUGAUAACGAUCUGGUACACUUGCCAGGGACUUAACAAGUUGUUGGUGUCGUUGCCAAGGACUCGUGGUUUAACUUAUCUAGUAGUGUAAACUGAUUAAGUUUGACUUGNUUGUAUAUAUCUUUUUAUCUUUUUAUCUUUUUUAUUUUUUUUUAAAUAUAAAAAAAUGGUACUAGGGUUUAUGUUUCUUGUGCAUGCAGCAGGAGCCCAUACAUACUAGGAGCAAGAAAAAUACGCAACCUCUUCUUGAAGGCUUAAGCGAGGCAAGGGGGAGAAGGAGAGUCAGACACCCAUCUAGGGAUUUCUUUCCUUCCCCUGAAAGAUUACUAUCACCUUCACUAGAUAGAAGAACAAAGGAGAUGGUUGAAAGAACUCCUCCAAGACGCACUCUUGCACACCAAUCAAAUGCGGUUGGCCCUUUCCAUUUUAACAGCAUAGUUAUGCCUACAGAUCAAACGACCAACAUGGUGAUGAAUCCAACACUUAUACACUUGGUGCAAAGCAAACCGUUUCAUGGUCUGUCAAAUGAGAAUCCCUACGACCAUUUGACAGUGUUCAGUGAAAUAUGCAACAGAGUGAAGAUGGCUGGUGUAUCAGAUGAUAGAGUGAGGCUUAGCUUGUUUCAUUUCUCAUUGGAGGGCAAUGCUAAGACAUGGCUCAACUCUUUUCCUGAAGGGACAUUUACAACAUGGGAAGUUGUGGCUACAAAGUUUGUCAACUAAUAUUUUCCACAGUCCAAAGUUACCCAGGGAAAGUUGGAGUUCUCAUCAUUUAAACAAGGCAUGGAAGAAACUCUAAGUCAAGCAUGAGAGCGAUUCAAAGGAUUACUCAGGAAAACACCAGUUCACGGAUUUGACAAGACAACCAUUAUUCUUGCCUACCUUGGUGGACUGAAUAUGCAGUCGAAGAUGAUGUUGGACGCCUCAGCUGGAGGUGAUAUCAAACAGAAGACUGAGGACGAAGCCUAUGAUUUGAUAGAGAGUAUGGUAGCUAAUAGACAAGAAGCAUAUAGUGAAAGGGGCGCACCGACCCAAUAGAGAGGAGUCUUGCACUUACCUACAAAUGAUGCAAUGCUAGCUCAAAAUCAUCUUUUGACCCAAAAGCUAGAUACAUUGACAAAGAUUCUCUCACAACUUCCAAAGGAUUUUCGUAAAGUCUCUCAAGCACAACAGUUAUGUGAUCUUUGUGGUGGUGACCAUAUUAAUGGUCAAUGUGCUAUACCUGAGGAGAUGCAGCAGGAAGCUAACUAUACGGGGAACCAAUACUAGUAUAGACAAGGGAAUUUCAACCAAGGCAAUCUUAGCCAAGGUUGGAAGAAUCAUCCAAGUAUUGGCCAACAACAGAAUAACCCAUCAGGGCAACAAGGAGGCUUCAGGUAGCAACAACCUUUAACUAUGUGGCAACAGGUUUCACAUUUAACAGAGUUUGUCAAAGAUAUGAGUGAAAGAUUUGAUAAAUUCAUGAAAGUCUAUGAGUCCAAUCGAGCAAGUGAUCAAGCUAUUGUUAGGUCAUUAGAGAUGCAAAUUGGACAGUUGCCAAAAAGAGUAGAAACCACUGAAAAGAACCAGUUUAGGGCUAAUACCGAUGUUAACCAUUAGGAAGAAUGCAAAGUUGUGGUGACAAGUGAUGGAGGAAGGGCUGACAGGGAAGUUGUAGAGAUUGGAAGCAGUGAUCAAAAGGAGGAAGGUGGAGCCAUUGAGAGUAGCAACAGCUGUGGAGAAGAAGAAGCAGAGGAAACAAGAGAUAGUCAUAAUGAGCAGAAAAGAGAAAUUUAUAAUCAAAUGACUAUUAUGCCUUCAAUUAUUAAACAGAUUCCUGCAAGAAUGAAAUUUUAUCUUGGAGAUAUGAUAGAUUUAGAUGAGGAUGAUGAUGAGCAGGAAUUUGAGAUUCAACCUCCGAAGAAUUAUCCGCUUAAAGUAAAAGAUCCAGGGUGCUUGAAUUUAGCAUGUAUGAUCAAUGAUGUUGAUAUAGGAGAAGCAAUGAUAGAUUCUGGAUCUAGCAUUAACAUGAUGCCCAUGCGUUUUUUUAAGAAAAUUGGAGGGCUAACAUUAAAGCCAUCUAAUCUCAUAGUGACAAUGGCGGAUGGUUCAGUUAAAACACCAUUUGGCAUGGUGGAAAAUGUGGUUGUUCAGGUGGAGUAGCUAGAAUUUUUAGCUGAUUUUAUCAUCACGAGCAAGGAAGAUGAGGAAAGAAUUCCAGUAAUUCUUGGAAGACCUUUCAUGGCAACAUCCAAGAUGUCUAUUAGUGUCCAUGAUGCAAGGAUCAUGAUGAGAGAUAAAGAGAAUAUACUCUUUUAUACUGGAUUUAAAGAGAGAAGUACUAAAAUUAAAAAGAGAGCCAGACAUAAAAAAUCAAGAAGAGAAGUUGCACCAGAGGACAACACAACAGGUAACAAUUCUAAUAGUUGUAAUGUUUUGCAAGUACCUAAAGAUGAAGAGGUUGACAAAGGAGGCACUAUCCACACUGAAUAUACACCACUUCCAAUAGGAGCACAAGUGAGAUUCAAGAAUAAGAAGUGGCUUGUUAUUAAGAUUCGGGAAGAUGGCAAGUUGGAAAUUAGGAAACCAUUCACAAGAGCCAUAAAGAAAGUGGAUAGAAAGCAACUGAUGAGUUGGGUUGAUGAAGAUCCCAACCGGGAUGGAAUGAAUUGAUUUUAUCUAAAUCCCACUUUGUAUAAACAUUUUGUAGUUUUAGGGUAUUUGAUUUUGUACAUGUACUUUAUUGAAUUUUUGAACACUUUUGGGGUAGCAUCUAGUGAGGGAUGCUAAAUCUCUUAUGUGUCCACUGAAGGAUACAAGGUAAGUACACCUACUGAAGGGUGUUGGAAGGAUAAGCACUUACUGAAGAGUGCUAAACAGAUUUGGGUCAGGCUCGUGACGUUAAACAAACGCUACCUAGGAGGCAACCCAGUUGUUUGUUUUGUUUUUAAUCCAGUGUUAAGUGCAUUACAUGCUAAUGAUUGCAUCUGAGAGGGGAAAGUCAUAUAUUUGAAAAUUGAAGGUUGGAAUUGAGUGCUAGAAAGAAAGAUUACUCAAAAGAAAGCAAAAGAAGAAGAAGUGAAAUUAGGUGCAGACCACUGAGCGGUUGCGGCGCUAAGGGUCUCGGUUUUGAUUAAAAGCUGAGCUGUUUUUCAAAUUUUUCACUUUGAAACCCUUCUUUGCAUUUCGCCUGAGCGGUCUCCCUAAGCCCUAACACUCUCCUGUCAUUCUAAAGAGAUUUUUAGAGAGAUUUCCUCACUUUCUCUUCACCCGCUCAGCAAAAAUUCAAUUUUCUACCUUUGCUUUGAUAAGUUUUGGGGUUUUUGGUUGAAACACUUGCAUUGGAGAGGACAUCCAUCAUCAAUUAAGAAAUUUUUCUGCAAGCAUUCACAACAAUCUUCACUCAAGUAAGUAUGCAAACUCAUGUUUAGGGUUUCUAAUUUGGGGAUUUGUUGAUGAACAUGCUUAGGAUCAUGAUAAAUUAGGGCUUUUGAUUUCUAAGAAUGAAUUGAUAGAAUAGGAACUGUUUGAACCGAUUGAAUUGCAUGAUUGUGGUCUGGAUUGAUGAAAUUAGCAAAAGAGUGGAGAUUAGGAUCAUUUAGGAAAGAAUUUUGAAAAACCCUAGCCGCCACCGCUGAGCGGUCUGUUUUGGCGUUGAGCGGUGGCGCGACUUGAGGCAAACCGCCUGGGCGGUGUUCAUGGACGCUGAGCGGUCUGCAACUGUUUUGCCUAAAUGUUGAAAUUUUUGAUGUUUGUGUGUUGGGGAGCCCUGUUUUUCCUCAAAGAAUUGUAUGAUCUGAUGAUGCACUAACCUCUAAUGAUGUUUCUGUGAAUUUUGUUGGAUGAAUUUGAUUUAUGCAAGAAUGUAUACCUCAAGAAGAGUUAAGACAAUGGGCAACAAAAGGAAGGAAUCAAAGAAACCUAGGAGAUACUAUUCUUCAAGGUUCCUUUCAAGGAAGCAUGAAGAACAUUUUGCUAUAGUCUAGGAGAGGCGAUUGUUGAUGGAGAGAAAAACCAUGUACAUCCCUGACUUGGCUCCAGAGUUUGGUUUGGAGAUUGAAAGGCAAGGAUGGGAGAGACUGACAACUUAUCCAGCACCAGCCAGUAUUGUGUUGGUGUAGGAGUUCUAUGCUAACGCCUUGCCGAGAGGAGGAGUGUCCGCAGGGAGGUACAUGAGCUAUGUACGUGAGCACUUGAUCAGCUAUGAUCCUGAUACCAUCAACGUUUUUCUAGGGAUUGAGUUGCCAGGAGAGCAGUACAGGUAUGCUACUAUACUGGGGGAGGCCAGGGAUUGUGAGGACAUUGAGCGAGUGAUGUGUAUCCCUGGGAUGCACUUUCAGAGAAACCCUAAUGGAGCACCGGUGAACAUCCUUAGGGUAGAUUUAACUCCCCUAGCUAAAUACUGGAUGACAUUUACUCAUGCCAACAUUCAGUCACGCUCUCAUGUUUUCGACAUCACUUUACAUCGGAUCCUGGUCAUUUAUUGUAUGUUGAAGUAGAUGGAUGUGAAUGUUGGUAAGAUCAUUACCAGCGAUAUUUUGAGCUACGCCAUCACUGAGAUCAGCAGGACGCCACUGGGACAUCUGUCCCUAAUCACAUAUUUUUGCCAGUAAGCAGGAGUGGACACUUCAGUUCCACCCUUUGAGAGGCCGAGGAGAGCUAUUAGUGCCUCCUAUUUUCAUCAGUAUUGUAGAGGUUACGAGUUAGCUGGAGCAAUCCCUAGGAGGGCAAUAGCGUAGCAGGAGGAUGGGCCUGCAGAUGCACCAGGACAACAGCCUGAGCCCUUUUAGAUGAGAGACAUGUACAUGUCUAUGAUGGAGGCGAGGAUGGAGUCCCUUUGCAGAGGGUAGGUGGCCACUGCCGAGAUGAUCAUAGGACUUUAUGACUAGCCACCAGUGCACAGGUGGACUAUGGACGAGUUCCGUAGUGUGAUGGCUUAGCCUCAAGGACAGGCACAUGGUAGUGGGUCUGGAGCAGUUGGGACCUCAGGAGGACAGGACGAUGACCAGGAGGAUGAAGACUUUGAGGAUGCCCAGGAGGAUGAGGAGGAUGACUCAGAUGAGGAUUUACGCUGAUGGCAUCUAUUGAUGGAUGCUAGCAUUUGGAUAGGGAUUUUUCUUUUUCUUUUUCUUUGUACUUUGAAUUAGUAGUGUAGGUUACAUUUAUGUUUGAGUCUAUGCUUGACGUGUACACUUAUUUGGAUAAUGGUUCAAUUUUAUUGCAUGAUGAGUUGUUUACUAUUGAUGAUUGACUGUGGAUGACGAUUGAGAAUAUGUGAAUGUUGAUAUCCAGGUUGAUGGUUCACUAGCUAUGUGAAAAAAUGAGUAAGUGAUUCAUGAUUGUGAUUUUGAUGCUAAGCAGGAUUCAUGUGAGAAGUGAGAAAGCCUGAUUAUGUGAGGUAUUGAGCUUCAGAGUUUUAUUCUUGUGUGCAAUGUUUACAGGGAAUCAUGUAUGGUAUUGACUUAAUCUUGAUAAUUGAUUGAAUUGCAUGUGUAUGUCAUAUGAUUAAGGCCAUGCUUGGAAAGCCCUUAGCCAAAUUUUCACCCAAAGAAUUUUAAAUGAUAUGCCCUUUUUGAACCUUGACCUUAAACAAUAUGAAAACCCUUGUUUGAAUUGAUUUACCUUGAGUUAGGGUUGAGAAUAAUUAUGUGUUGAAAAGGUUCAAGUUUGGGGUUGAAUGGGGAAAGUGAAAGGGAAAAAAAAGAAAAGCAGUGAGUUCCAAAGAAUGAAAAAAUGCAUGAGAAAGAAAAGAAAAGAAGAAAAGAGAAAAACAUGUAAAGUGAACUCAAUGUAAAAUGAAAAAGGGAAAAAGUUAGGAGUAAGUGAGAUUGGUUAAAAAAAGAGAGUGUGGUUCAACUUUAAAUGAUGAUUUAAACUGUCUUAACUCAAGGAUUUUGUAUUCCAGAAAAACCAAUUUUCUUGAUACCCCAGCCACAAUACAAGCCUUGGAAAAAGUCCUUGUGAUGACAUGUGCAUGUGAAGAUUUUGAUUGUUUGAGAUUAAUGACAAUAUUGUUUUAUGUGACAUGUGAGCAGUAGAGAGUAGAGUGACCUCCUAAACACUUGAGUGAUUGAGUGAAACACUUGCUUGGUGAGAAUUGUUAAAUCCAUGUUUACAUCUAUGUUUAGUUGAUUGAUCAUUCAUGAACAAAACAUCUAUUGGAAAAAGAUUGAUUAUGUGAACUAAGGUUGAUUGAAAGUAUGUAUGCAUCUUUGUAGGAUUCCACUGAAAUUUGAAUUGUAUAAUAACUGGUCAUGAGAAAAAGGAGUUUUGAAAAUUGUGAAUUAUUUGAUGAAGAAGUGAAAAGCCAAGUUUUGUCUUCUUUGCUUGAGGACAAGCAAAGUUCUAAGUUUAGGGUUGUGAUAAUGGUCUAAAAACUGUUAUUUUCAUGUUUAAAUUUAAUAGUAAAACACACCCUUUAUUGCUUAGAAUGAGUUUUAAAUUAAGAAAAACACUUAGCUGUGUCUCGUGAAAGUCAAAAGUUGGUUUUAGAGAUAUUAUGCUUGUUCUACAUUGUUUUGCAGGGUUUUUAGAUGAAUUAAAGAUGGAAGUGAAGUAAGGUGGACUUAAACCCAUGAAAGAAGGAGAAAAAUGAUGAAAAGAAGGGUUAGGCAAGCCGCUGAGUGCCAGAAUGGUCCGUUGAGCGCUUAGAGUGAUUAGAGGGAAACCGCUUAGCGGCAAAACUGAUCGCUGAGCGGUCAAAGUAGCACAAGGCAAACCGCUGAGCGGUGAAUUUAGGCGCCUGGGCGGUUGUCUGUUUUUUUAGCUAGAUUCUGUAAAUCUUUCUGUAAUCUAUCUGUUAUCUUUUUGGGCUUAUAUGCGAAUUAGAAGGGGAUUCUUUUGGCAGAGAGAAACGUCCAGAACUAUUCCACACACCUUGGAGCAGGUUCCUUUGAUGCUUAGGCUCCAAUCAACCAAGUUUAGGAUUAUUUCUUCCAUUCUUUCAUUAUUUUGAUCUAGUUUCACCAUGACUAUGGUGAACUAAACCCUUUGUUGUUGGGGAACAAUGUAAUUGAUGGGUAUCGCGGCCCAUACAAAUUUGAUUGCAUAUUAGGAAUGCAGUAUAACUAGGAAGUGACUUCUAGGUCGUCUCUCAAGGACCAACUACGGUUCAGAAUCAGGUCUAACACGAAGUGGUGGGGGGGUUUGUGAAAAGUUUGUGAAUGCGGAUCUAUCAUGAUAAUUAAAGUGACACGACCAAACCUACUAGGAAAUAUUAAAAUAAAUGAAAUUGCUAAACCCAACAUUACAUAGACAAUUUUCUAGUACAGUUAAAAUUAUUAGAAUGCAACACUAAAUUAAAGAGAUGAAAGACAACUCAACCUACUAUGUAAAAUUAAAUUAAAGCAAAAGAAAAAAACAACACAAAUUACUUUUAGCAAUUAACCUAUGGCAUCUACCAAAUGAAAUUAAAUUUGCAAAAUGGCCUAAAGAACCCCUUGGUCGUGACCUUCCUUGCUUUAUCAUAAAUCAUGCUUCAUCAUAGAAAUGAAAAUGUGCUUAUCAAAUAAAAAAAAAAACCGUGACAUCAACAUAACCAAUGUACUCUUUCUCCAAGAAAACAAAAGUUCAAUUUUCCUCCAAAGCACCGCUUCAUUAUCCUAAAGAAAGUAAAAUAACGUGGUGGCUGUUGCAGCCAAGCAACCUAUUUCUACAAGUAAAAAAAAAUGCUAAUACUUAAAGUGGGACAAUGGUUGCAACUACAUUAUGUCCUACUCUCACUUUUUCCAAGCAAUGCAUCAAAAUACUUGUCUCAAAAUCACAACCGUACACCUACCCUCUUCUCUUAUCUAAUCAACUCAUCAUUCUUAAAGAAAUAAAGAAAAGAAAAAAAAAGAAAGAAACUUCAUCUCUGUAACGUCCCAUCACUUCUAUUCCCACCUAAUCUACUCUUCAAUUCAACAAAGUAAAAGAAAAGCUAAAUAAAUGUUAACCAUCAUUCACUCAAGGUACUUUUGCAUUCAAUGAAAAUAAAGAAAUCAUCACUUCCAGGCAUCAUUCCGUUCCAUGAAUAAUAAAAUGGUUCCAGCACUUUUCUCAAAAGCAAUUGAAUACACUAAGAAUUGAUGGUUGACCGUCCUCCACCCUUCUAGAAGUAAAGAAGACAAAUGUUUCUCCAUUCAUCUAUUUGGAACCGUGAACAACUGCUGCCAGCCCUCCCAUCAAUCAACGUUUUCAGUGUACCAAAAUAAAGAUGCUCCAGCUAGGUGAAAAAAGUAGCAUUUUAAUCCAAGCCAAACCUCAUUCCAGUGCAGUAGAAAAUGAUAAAUGGAAAAGAAAUGAAUGCUCUAAUUAAAAUCUGAUGCAAUGUUGCUUGUGGAAAAGAAUGCUUCUCCCAUUCAUCCAUAAUCCAUCAAUGUUGGCAUGAAAAAUAAUGCACUAAAAAACGUUCCAGCCUCCCUACGUUGCAACAGCCAAAUUACUUAAGUGUGACAACUGCACCUCUUUUGCUAGGGCCGUUUGACUCCAAAAAAUUGAGAUGGGGUCCACCUAUUUGCAAAACCCUAGGUGCCAUGUCAUGUUUCCUAUUUGGGCUCAAACUAUUCUGCCAAAAGUUGGCCCAAUGUUUACAAGUUUAAUUAAAAACUAUCUAGACUACUAAGUUACAAUGUAAUUAAAUUUAAAAAAGUCUUUGUGUAGAGUCUUAAAUGAAUUGAUGUCCUCUGUAAUGUCCAAAAUUGUAUCUCCAAAAUUUUCCCUGCAAUUAAUAAUGCAAAUAAUUAGCUCAGAAUAUUCAAAUUAAUUAAAAUUAGAAUUUCCAGUCAAAUUAAGAACUAUUAGCAAAAACAUAAAAAUACCGGACAUUUAAGCACAAUUCCCUGCUUAAUUCUAGCACAAUAAACUAAGUGAAAUCAAUAAAAUAUCGACUCAUCAAAAUAGACCACCCUUAGUCUUUUGCACUCCUGGGCAAAAUCAAGACGAAAAUCAGGGAACAGUUCAACGAACAUCAGGGAAUUGACACAGACUCAACAGACAAAAUUACAGUCCUCAAGAAAUCUGGACAAGGAAAAGUAGUAGACAGUAUCCACACAGAAUCAGAGAAAAUAGAUCUUCAUGAAGUCAUCCAAGCAAUUCUAAGCAUGGCAAAAUAAUCAAUCAGUUCAAGAGGUGAAUCAAAAGCAACAAAACCUCACAGAUGCACACUAUUAGUGUUUCUCUCAAGUGUCUAGGGUAAAUAGUUUCAACUCAAUGUGCUCAAGCAAGCAAACACAAACAGACUUGGCAAGUCUCUAAUAUCAACACUCAAGAGAUAUGCAUAUUCAAAUCAAAAGGUCCUUUAUGGAUGUAAUGGGGUCAAGGACAAGGAAGGAGAUAAUAUAGAUGAGAAGCUACAAACCAAAAGAAAUAGACGAGCAAUGGGGAACAAGUGUAAACACAGUCAAUUAACACCCAAACCCUCUAAUUCAAUCCUUUUCUUGACUCCGUUAUUCACACAUUUUUUUUUUAAUUUUCUCACUUUUCUGUAUUUUUUUUCUUUUUUUUUUUUCAUCUUGUCUCUUUUCUUUUCAAUCUAUGUAAGACAAACUGUAAGAGACAAGAUAUACACAACAUAUUUACAAAAAGAAAAGCAAGAAGAGGAACCAACUAGCCAAUUCAUCUGAAUCCCCCGGGAGACCACACUUAUUCCCAAAACAAUUCCAAAGCUCCAAAAUUCCCCAAGGUUAAGGUAAUCAUGGCUUUUCACUUAGGGCUAAUGUAUUAGCUUCAAAACAAAGAAAUGGAGAAAGUAUAGGCUCAAAGGGGCUAUCAAAGGAUCAUAACAAGGUAGGCUCAUCUGGCUAGAGAGGCUAAACAACAAAACUGCCUUUAUCACUUUCAAACAUGCAUAUCAAUUAAGAAUAAUGAACAAGAGUCAAGCCAAGGCAUAUGUGCAAGCAAUCAAGAGACAUAUCAUACACAAGAAAGAAUAUCAAGUGGCCCAAAUUCUCACACAGGGUAUUUCUGUCACAAUCAAUCACCCUCUCAAACAUCAUAAUCAUCUUCCCAAGCAAAGAAAAGCAUGAAUUCAGACUAAUCAGAGUACUAAUAAAAUAAAAGACAAGUCUACAACCUAAACCAAGUCUAGAAAUCAAGAGAAACAUGUAAAACUAUAUACAAGACACUACAAAAACUAUCUAGAAAACAAAAAAUUUAAUGCAAAAAAAAAAACAUAAACUAAUCAAAGAAAAAUCAGAAUCUCCCCUAAUAGACCACACUCAAGACAUAUGCUGGAGGUGACGAGUCUGUGAAGAAAGUGGUAAACUAUGGAGAAAAUGGUGGAUCUAGGAUGAAGAUUGGUUUUCCGGAGAAGAUGAACUUACGAGAGAGAAACUUACUCUCGGGGAAGAAGACACGAUGAGUAAAAUGUGAGGAAUGAAUGGAAUGUCUGAAGCAUGAAUGAGAAUUGUUGAGGCUGACACGUGAGCAAAGACAUGUCAGAGGAGGAAUAACUGAGGCUUGCACGAGAAACUGAAUAUUUGGCAGAUGAUGUGUGGCGUAGCAUGGAAGAGAGAUAAGUAAGGUGGAGCACGGUGGCAAAUUUGAAAAUGGAAAAUAGGAAGUGUGCUGGAAGGUGGCUAGAGGAGGUCCUUUGGACUCUCUAGCUCGACUUUCAAGAGAGAAUCAUUUUCUGGUUCAGAAAAACUAAUCCUCAUUAUUCUCAAAAGUGAAAAUACAAGAGAGGCUCUUAGGUAUUUAUAGUGACCCACACUCCUUGCAAGCUAAACUAUAGAUGCAAUAAAAUGUAAAAAUACAAUAAAAGAGGACUGUCAGGAAGGAUUCCAUCAUACCCUCCCUCUUAAAUAAAGAUUGUCCUCAAAUCUGGCAAUUGCCUUAUGGAGAAGCUCAACACAGUCUUGGGAGCAUGGCCAUUCUUGAAGUGGCCUUAUUCUUUUAUUCCUUGAGAUCUAUUGUUCUUCCUCCUGGAUCAAACACAGAUCUGCAAUACACAUGAAAUAUAUCUCCCAUUAAUAUCGAUCCAAGAAAGGAAUUUUCUAAAAUAACUUUGGAAUAAGGACUUCUUAUAGUUUGCUUUGAAGUUUUAAGAAUGGUAAGAAGUCCAAAUUCAAAAAUUACUUUGCUUUUGUCUUGAGUUAUUUGUUUUCUUGAAGAUAACAAUAACUCAAGAUUUGAAUUGCCAUAGUUUGAAAAGAUUUGCGUAAAAUAUGGUCUGGCAAUUGAUUUGAAAGAGAAAUUAGAAUUGGAAGAGUGAAUAAUGAUUGGAAAAGAUUGAAAACCUUCCCUUUUAAAAUUGGAUUCCAUGAUUGGAGUCAAAGUUGUUCUCAGUAGCACUUCCUCCUUCUCUUUGUUUUCCCUUUCUUGUCUUUCCUCUUCUUGUUCUUUUCUCUCUUUUUCUCUUCUCUCUUCUUUUCUUUUCUUUUCUCUCUCUUUCUUUUCUUCUUCUCUCCUCUCUUCUUCUCUUCUUAAAUCCUCUCUUCUCUCUUCUCUUCCCCUUUCCUUUCUUCCUCUUUUUUUUCUCUCUAUCUCUCUUUCUCUAUUCUUUUCCUUGAUCACUUUAAGUUUAUGCCCAAAUUCUAAUUCUCUCCUAAGAAACCCAUGAUCACUUAAACUCUCAAGAAACAUUUUUCCAUCUUCAAUGCAAUCUCUAAUUAAUUCUAAGUUUCUUUUAAUGCUUGAAGGCACAAACUUUCUUCUCAUGCAAGCUUUUAAAUGGGAGAUGUUGACGGAUUGGCAAGCGUACCAAAUCGUUCAAGUAAUAUAAUUGGUAAAACCCAAUAUCGUUCUUCCCAAGAGACUCGAAAGGCUUUCUCGUUCACGUGAAUUAAAAUAAUAAUACUUGAAAAUAAAAAUUAAAUAAUUGUUAAGGAGAAUAAAAAUAUGAACAUGCAAUAGAGAUUGAUUCAAUUUGCAAAAGGAAAACAAUGGAUGAAUGGACUUGUUGGGGGUUUACAAAUUCAUCUUAUCUACACUCUCUUAUUUACUCCUCUUGAAUUAUUAGUUUGAUUAAUUAAUUGUCAUGCAACUUUCUUAGCCUACCCCUAACCCGAUCCCUCGACGAAAAGAGCUUAAUAUUAAUUACUGGUUUGGUAACCCUAGCCUCCCCUAGCAAUUAAUACAACAUUAUAAGCAGAAGUUAAAAGCAAUUAAUCAUCCUACCCCUAUCCCUAGGUGGUAUUACAAAAUCAAGGAAUUACUCAUCAGUUCAUGACAUUACUGUACGUCCCCGUAUCAAUAAAGACAAUGAUCAGUUAUCGAAUGAGUUAAAUGAUAAAGGCCUUAAGCACAUAUGAGAACCCAACAAUUCAUCAAUCAAAACAUAUGGAAACCAUAUAAAUAAGAGUUUCAAUAAAAGAGAGUAUCAAAAUAUUACAUUGUUUCCCCCAAAACCAAUAGCGUGCUCACCAUAGACAUGGUGAAACUAGAUUGAAAAUGCAAGAAUAAUGGAAAAGCAAACCCUAGAAAAGAUGAAAAGGAGCCCAAGCAUCCAAGAGAUCCUCUCAGAGAGCAAAAUUAGGUCUGGUCGUUCUCCCAGUCAAAAGAAUGACUCUGAAAUCGCAAUAGGGGUAUUUAUAGGUGAGGAGCGCAGCAGAAAACAGGCCCAGGCCAAACGGACCACCGCCCGGCGGUUUAAGUGUGUCGCCCUGCGGUUUCCCAUAAUCCUCCAAACCGCCCGGCGGCAAUCGCCACCGCCCUGCGGUUUCCCUUAAAACCGCCCAGGGCCAACGCUUGUGCCUACUCCUCGCCCUGGAUCGCCCAACGGUGUAACUUGCCGUCGGGCGGUGCGUUGACUCUUCAAAUCUUCAAUUUUCUUCUCUUUUCUUGAGUCUACGACCUUUAUCUUCAGCUCUAUUCUUCAUUUCCUCAAAAUAGCUACAAAACAAUGCAAAGCAAGCAUAAUAUCGCUAAAAACAACUUUAGACUCUCUACAGACUUAUUUAUUGAGUUUUGCUUGAUUCUAAGCUCAUUCCAAGUAGUAAAGGGCGUAAUUAGGUCUAAAAUGACAUAUGAAAAUAACUGUUUUUCAACCUUCAUCAGGAGACUUUCUACCUUUCCUAACAUAAUAUUUCCUUUCAUCCCACCACUUACAUGCAUGUUCUUCUAACUAAGAGUGAUAAAUGCUAAGUACAUAAGACUCUCUCUCUCUAUGAGACCAAGAAUUUAUUUUAUCUAUCUCUUAUUCCCAAGCUAGGUAUGUUAAUGCACCUAUGUCUUUACCAAAGAAUGGAAGAUUCUUAGCUUGAUUAAACAUUUCAUCAACUUUAUCUAUCCUAGAAGACCUAUAUGAACUAUAACAAGACAUCUUUAUUUUUAAAAGUUCUCUUAAUCAACGACUAAAAGCUUCCACUUUAGACAAAUCCCAAGUAAGAGAGGUGAAUCACUAGGGUUGCUUAAAUAGCAAGUCUUGCCUUAGCCAGAUUUGCCUUAAGCUACUAACUACUUAUCCUUUAAACAAAAAUCACUUUUAAAAUCAAAGACACAACAAGCAAAGACAAUUGACGGACUCUAAGACCCCUAAAACGUAUGGACUCUAAUGUGACAAGAGUCACACCUACACGUGAAACACUAAAAUAACAUGCAAACAAGCAAGAUAAUUCUAACCCUAUGAUGAGCUUUGACUAAAAAGUCACUCAUGUAUCUGGCUAUGCAAAAAUUAGAGAAAGCAAUCAAGAAAAGUUGCAAAGAAUGGAAAGAGAACCAAGGACUCUUCCAAACUUGGACUUUAUAAAAAGGCCCUUUUACAAAACACAAAGCUAAGCUACCAGCUACACUGGGCUAACACAAGCCCAUCAAAUUACACCAAAACAACAAAAAAAUCAAAUACAAAGAAAACCAAAUAAAACUAUGUUAUUGGUCUUCAGCACACGUAUGCUACGACCCACAACUUCUGCAUUCUAGACAUUUUCUCUUGGCAGAUGUUGCUGUCACUGCACUAGUUCAAAUGUUGCAUUCAUCUCUCGGUUUUAAACUUGAAGCAGUUGUUCCAAGCCUGCAAACACUGAUACUGUAAAGACUAAAUCUAAUCCUAAAAAUUUUCAAGCCAUAACAAAAUCAAUUUAAUCAAUCAACUUCCCUAUUCAUUCUCUGACUUUCACGUGUUCACUUUUGAUCCUGGCAGGUCAGAGAAUGGCUUUUGUUCUCACGAAUAAACUGCAAGAAGAGUCACACCCAAUUCAGCAAAUUCCAAGCUAUAUCAGAAAUAGUUUAAACACUCAGAAGCAAGAUAGUUAAACACUUGCCUGUUUAGGCUGGUACACUUGAUGCAAGUCCUUGUGCCAAAACACGUAUACUCUUGAUGUUGUUGCUGGAUAACGUGGUUCAGUCUAGUUUCUGGCCAAUCCUACAAUAACGUAUGCACCAAACUGGUGUGAAUAUUCACUUAGGUAAAACAGAAUGCAAAAGAAGAUAUGGGGUAGUAAGAACUUCCCUUUCUCUUGGCUACACCAACUUUCCACUAAUAUUCUACUGCAGCUCACUAUCCUUUUCUCUCGGUUACAGCACUUGAUGCAGCUGUAUGACAUUCUUUUGCUUUCAAUUUGAAAUCCGCUGCAUAAAGAAUUCACACAAAUUUAAUAUACAACCAACAAUGCUGUCACUACAGAAUAACUAAUGACCCAUAGGAAAUUAAACUAGACGACUCCCUUCAGUGCAGAUGGAUGCUUCUAGCUCUUAAACUCCACAUAUCUCAGCAAAAAAACUUAAGCAUAUAUCAAAAGUUUCCACAGAUAAGCUCUACACACACCAACUUAUACUAGAUUCCAACAAAUACAAAUAGAAUUAGAGAUGAACCAGAUUCAGGUAUAUGUAAUGCAAAUCUAAGAUUAAACUUCUUAAACAACCAGCCCUAGCUAUUCAAAAUCUAAUCAAUCCAAUUGCAAUGCAGAAAUGCCUACAAGCCAAUUCAAAAUUCAAAAUUGUGAGUUAAAUGCUUUAUUCACUUUGUAAAAACUGAAUCAUGCUUUAGGAAUUGAAAUAAGUUGAAACUUGAGCUUAAUUACUUCAAAGAGAUCAACUUAUGCACAAUUAUGUCACACACAGUAGAUAUGUAUCUAAGGGAAAUAAAACAGCUAGGUGACAUUCGUUAAUAAGCAUGCAUUCAAUUCAAGUGAAGUUAUGGCUUUAGGCACAAAACAGAAUUUAGAAUCCAACAACAAGUGAAUCAAUCAGACAAGCAAGGUCUAAAACUGCACAUGAUUAGUUCUAGAAAACAGCAUAGAAUGUUUGAGUCAACCAAAAGGAAUGGAAUUUUGUAACCAAAAGCAAUGAUUUUCAAAAUAGAUUAACAAGCAGGAUUUGAACAGAAAUAGAAUUGGCAAACUAACUUAACCCAAGAAGUUGAAAACAGAUUGCCUUAACCAAUUUAAAAGAAACAAAGUGUUCAUAUUAACAGCUCGAUCCUUUGGUCAUCUUGGAUGCAUUCCAACUUGAUCAGAUUCACUAUGCUGCACAAAGGAACAAAGCAAAUGGUUAAGGUUAAUAUUGAAAUCUCUCUAACUAUCAAGAUCCUUGGCCAAGUUAGCCUCGCAAAACUCACAACACUCAAAACUAUUUCAGAAGGCUUCUCUUUAAAACUUCACACACACAAAUGAAAGGUUUGGAGGGGACAUUCUCCCUUGGCAAUUCAAGGUUGGAGAGUCUUUUAGACCAUCACCACCUAAGAUGCUACCAAGCACAAACAUUUCUUUCAAAUUUCCAAAAAUCCAAAGUGAAACAACUUCUCGCGUAAGAAAUGGAUAGGCUAAGCAAUGGGCAGAAACCAGAAUAGGACAGAUUAGCUACUAAGGCACAAAAAUUAACAGCACAAUAGAACAAAAGACUCAAAACAACUCUAGACCAAAUUACAAAAGCAAAGAAAGGCUCAAUUAAAGAACAGCUGAAUAGAGUUCACAUGUGAUGGACAAAACCAAGAUAGCCAAUCAAGACAAGCAAGAAAAAUGGAUUGCAAACACGGAGGCACAACAAAUUGAUCCUAAGAAUAGAACUAGAACAUAUUUAAAAGCUAUAAGACCUAAGUUGAACCAGUUAUGAAUGAAAACAAUUAUAUCUGAUUUUGGCAGAGAUAGUUUACUGAAACAGUGAACACUAUUGUGAAUUGCACUAGUUCUCUUUACUCUUUUUUUUAUCACAAUUUGAUAGCCAAAUCUGAUUUGGAUGACACUUUAGAACUUGCUAUUUUCAGUCACAGUUCAACACAGAGCACCUAAUCAACUUUUCAACUUAUUCAAAUUUUUGCCAAAAGAAAUUAAACAUGAUUCAACUCAAAAUAAAAUCCAAAGGAAAACAAUAUAUUAAUCACUCUCAGCCACGGUUAUAGUUUCAAAUACUUGGCUCACAGGCUUCCUUGAGUGACCAAAAAUACAUACUCAAAUGCAGAAUUGUUGUCAAGGUAUAUGCUUAGUGAAUGCACACUAUUAACCACACUCAGAAAUUCAAAAACAAGUUCAAACACUGUUGCAAGCAAUUUCAAUGCAAUUCUGUAGAUUCUUAGACCACAAUAGAUGCCAAAGAGACAAUGUCAAUGACUAUACUAGAAAAAUUGAACCAGAGCUUGGCAAAGAAUCUAAAACCAAUUAUGAAUGACUCCAAGACUCUCAAAGCACAUUCAGUAUCGAUGAAACUAAUUAACAGAUUCAAGAAAAAUGUUACUUCAUCCAAUGCUGCCACAGAAAUCUGUCAUCGACCUCAUUCAAUUGAAUGUCAUGGCUCUUAAUGAUUGACAGGAGUCAAAGAAGGCAUAGACCAAACUUAACUCAUGACUUGACAAUUACAAAGGUUAAACUCAUAUUCAUAUGACAAAUCAAACAAAUAACAUGACUAAACAUAACAGAAAUGAUUUAGAAAUCAAAAUGACUCAAAUACAAAGAUUCACCGAAUAAAAUGAUCAAAACAAGACUCGACUCAAAGCACAGAACAACACAAACCUAUGCACAUCUUAUCAGAUUUUGGAAACCUAAGAACAUUGUCGCAACCGGAAUCACGACGGGACGAGGUUCCAAAAAAGAAACAGUUUUGAUUUUGAAAAGAGAGUUUGGAGUCGCCACCAUAGUUUAUUCUGGAAAACUACAGAAAAACCAUAAAGUGAUAAAGCACGGUCCACGAAAACCAAAGAUGGGGUUCGGGAGUCAGUUACGAGUAGGGAAGGUAUUAGCACCCUACAACGCCUGCCCGAAGGCAAUACCAUUAAUUAAAUACGCGAAUGUGAUGUGGUUUACAAAAUGUUAAACUAUCCCAAAAAAUGACAAUCUAAAGAAACAAAAUAUAUUUUUUUACUUUUUGUGCCCGACAAGGAUUGACCUUGCUCCUACGUAUUCUCAAAGUGAGAAAUUAGGGUUACGUAGUUCUAGCUGAAAGAUUGUUUCUUUGUUUCAAAAUGUUUUUAGUUUUUGAAGAUUUUAUAUUUUUUUGGUAUCUUUUAUAUAAAAAAGGGAAAAGGUUUUUCAGCACAAGGCCUACGCGAACGGUCGCACGUGUGCUUUAAACCCUUUGAAAUAAUAUUGUUAAUUUUUGAAAGAAGAAGAAAAAGUUUUCANCGCAAGGCCNACANAAUNGUCGNACCUNUNCUUAAACCUUUAAAAUGAAAUUUUGUUGAUUUUUAAAAGAAGAAGAAAAAGUUUUCAGCGCAAGGCCGACAGAAUGGUCGCACCUGUGCUUAAACUUUUAAAAUGAAAUUUUCUUGAUUUUUGAAAAAAGAAGAAAAGAGAGUUUUUAACACAAGGCCGAGACAAUGGUCACGCGUGUGCUAUUAACCUUUUNNNNNNNNNNNNNNNNNNNNNNNNNNNNNNNNNNNNNNNNNNNNNNNNNNNNNNNNNNNNNNNNNNNNNNNNNNNNNNNNNNNNNNNNNNNNNNNNNNNNNNNNNNNNNNNNNNNNNNNNNNNNNNNNNNNNNNNNNNNNNNNNNNNNNNNNNNNNNNNNNNNNNNNNNNNNNNNNNNNNNNNNNNNNNNNNNNNNNNNNNNNNNNNNNNNNNNNNNNNNNNNNNNNNNNNNNNNNNNNNNNNNNNNNNNNNNNNNNNNNNNNNNNNNNNNNNNNNNNNNNNNNNNNNNNNNNNNNNNNNNNNNNNNNNNNNNNNNNNNNNNNNNNNNNNNNNNNNNNNNNNNNNNNNNNNNNNNNNNNNNNNNNNNNNNNNNNNNNNNNNNNNNNNNNNNNNNNNNNNNNNNNNNNNNNNNNNNNNNNNNNNNNNNNNNNNNNNNNNNNNNNNNNNNNNNNNNNNNNNNNNNNNNNNNNNNNNNNNNNNNNNNNNNNNNNNNNNNNNNNNNNNNNNNNNNNNNNNNNNNNNNNNNNNNNNNNNNNNNNNNNNNNNNNNNNNNNNNNNNNNNNNNNNNNNNNNNNNNNNNNNNNNNNNNNNNNNNNNNNNNNNNNNNNNNNNNNNNNNNNNNNNNNNNNNNNNNNNNNNNNNNAUUUAUAUACACACAUUUGUAAUAUUAUUGUGAUCUUGCCUUAAUGGCGAAUUAAUUGUCAAUUAGCAAAAUAGGGAAAUAAAUGGUCUUGAUUGAAGAAAAAUAAAUCAAAUUAAAAUCAUAUUUUUCUCUUUAAGAAGAAAUUUAAUACAACAAUCAAUAUAUUAUUUUUAAUUAUUUGUUGUAAUAUUGCCAUAAUGUUGAUUCGAAUUAUUACCAAAUAAAACACAAUUUCAAAAAUAUUCUAAAGUGAUAUUUCAUGCAUUAAUAUUAAUUGUUUAUGGGCCUCCUGCACCAUUUUUCCAAGAAAAUCACUUGGAGCACCUCUUCCAUUUAAUCACCAUUCUUUUCUUUUCAUUUUAUUCACGUGCACCCCCUUUUUUUCUUUUUUCCUUCCUUCCUUUUUUCCUUUUUUCUUCUUUUUUUUCUUUUAAAAUUUUCUCUUUUUUUAUUCUUUCUUCGUUUUUUUGUAAUUACUUUUUUUUUAAAAAGAAAUUAAACAAAAAUAGAAAAAUAAAAUUAAGAAUAACAUAAAAUAAAAUAAAUAAUAAAAAAAUGAAAGAAAAUAAAUGAAAUAGGACAACAAUAAAAACCAAGUCUCACUAUUUAGUCACUCGGACGAAAUUGAGUGUUAACAGCUGCCCCUUUUUACUUAGAUAUUACUAGAUAAUAUGAAAAUUUGAUAUUUUUGUAUUAUCUGAGUAAAAGCUAAGUAAAGAUAGAAACACUAAAUUUUUCCGGGUUUCAAAAAGAAAUAAAAGGAUGAAAACUAAAAAACUUAAAUUUCACCAUUGCGUAGUAGAGGGCCGAUAAAAUUAAAACCUGGAUUUGACCAUUGCCUUGCAAAGGGCCAAAAUCGCAGAAGGAAAACUUAAAUUUGACCAUUGCGAAGCAGAGGGCUGAUAACAAAAUUAAAACCUGGAUUUGGCCAUUGCCUUGUAGAGGGCCAAUAUCGCAGAAGGAAAACUUAAAUUUGAUCAUUGCGAAGUAGAGGGCCGAUAACAAAAUUAAAACCUACAUUUGACCAUUGCCUUGCAGAGGGCCAUAAUAGCAGAAGGAAAACUUAAAUUUGACCAUUGCGAAGCAGAGGGCCGAUAACAAAAUGAAAACCUGGAUUUGACCAUUGCCUUGUAGAGGGCCAAAAUCGCAGAAGAAAAACUUAAAUUUAACCAUUACGAAGCAGAGGGCCGAUAACAAAAUUAAAACCUAGAUUUGGCAAUUGCCUUGCAGAGGGCAAAAAUCACAGAAGAAAAACAUAAAUUCGACCAUUGCGAAGCAGAGCGCCGAUAACAAAAUUAAAACCUGGAUUUGACCAUUAGAGUGCCAAAAUCGCAGAAGAAGAACUUAAAUUUGACCAUUGCGAAGCAGAGGGACGAUAACAAAAUUAAAACCUGGAUUUGUCCAUUGCCUUGUAGAGGGCCAAAACCGCAGAAGAAAAACAUAAAUUUAACCAUUGCGAAGCAGAGGGCUGAUUACAAAAUUAAAACCUGGAUUUGACCAUUGCCUUACAGAGGGCCAAAAUCGCAGAAGAAAAACAUAAAUUUGACCAUUGCGAAGCAAAGGGCCUAUAAGAAAAAGAAAAACUUGAGCUUAAGGUGCCAGGCGAAUUGGGCUUUGGGUGCCAGACAAAACUGGGCUUUUGUGGUCACACCUGUGCUUAAACCUUUAAAAUGAAAUUUUGUUGAUUUUUAAAAGAAGAAGAAAAAUUUUUCCGCACAAGGCCGACAAAAUGGUCGCACCUCUGCUUAAACCUUUAAAAUGAAAUUUUGUUGAUUUUUAAAAGAAGAAGAAAAAGUUUUUAGCGCAAGACCGACAGAAUGGUCGCACCUGUGCUUAAACUUUUAAAAUGAAAUUUUGUUGAUUUUUAAAAAAGAAGAAAAAAAAGUUUUUAACACAAGGCCGACACAAUGGUCACGCGUGUGCUAUUAACCUUUUAAAAUAAAUUUUUGAUUAUUUUUAUAAAAGAAGGAAAAAAGUUUUUGUAAAAGAAAAGGAAAAGAUUUUUAGCACAAGGCCUACACGAACGGUCGCACGUGUGCUUAAACCUUUUCAAAAAAAAUUUAUUGAUUUUUAAAUUUUUAUUUUUAUUAGCAAAGAAUAAUAAAAUAAAUUCUAAAGCUAAAGAAAUAAAAGCAAAAACAAUAAAAUGAAAACAAAAAGUCCAAUAAGAAUGGGAAAGGAAAUAUAACUAGGAAAUUGAUCUCCACCCUUCUGAAGCUGCCUUAAAGGUCCUCCACUGCACCACAAAAAGCUUCUACAGAAAGUUGUUCAUUCAUUUGUGCACGUGCCUCUUUGUCCCACUCCAUUUAUAUACACACAUUUGUAAUAUUAUUGUGAUCUUGCCUUAAUGGCGAAUUAAUUGUCAAUUAGCAAAAUAGGGAAAUAAAUGGUNCCCACUCCAUUUAUAUACACACAUUUGUAAUAUUAUUGUGAUCUUGCCUUAAUGGCGAAUUAAUUGUCAAUUAGCAAAAUAGGGAAAUAAAUGGUGUUGAUUGAAGAAAAAUAAAUCAAAUUAAAAUGAUAUUUUUCUCUUUAUGAAGAAAUUUAAUACAACAAUCAAUAUAUUAUUUUUAAUUAUUUCUUGUAAUGUUUGCCGUAAUGUUGAUUCGAAUUAUUACCAAAUAAAACACAAUUUCGAAAAUAUUCUAAAGUGAUAUUUCAUUCAUUAAUAUUAAUUGCUUAUGGGCCUGCUACACCAUUUUUCCAAGAAAAUCACGUGGAACACCUCUCCCAUUUAAUCACCAUUCUUAUCUUUUCAUUUUAUUCACGUGCACCCCUUUUUUUUUCCUUCCUUCCUUUUUGCCUUUUUUCUUCUUUUUUUUUUUGUUUUAAAAUUUUCUCUUUUUUUAUUCUUUCUUCGUUUUUUUGUAAUUACUUUUUUUAAAAACAAAUUAAACAAAAAUAGAAAAAUAAAAUUAAGAAUAACAUAAAAUAAAAUAAAUAAUAAAAAAAAUGAAAUAGCACAACAAUAAAAACCAAGUCUCAUUAUUUAGUCACCCGGACCAAAUUGAGUGUUAACAAACAUGAAAACAACUUUCACAGAAUAAGAUGCACGAACUCAAAUAGAUAAGCAAUCAAGACAGUGAAGGCAAAGUGAUUACAACUCAGAAAUUGAAGAAACGCAACAAGAUACUCAGAGUCAAGAUCAAACCGAGACAAAAACACAAAUAAUGACAUCAACGUGAUGGAAAAUCCCUUAACCAUGAUCAAGCACUUUCAAGAGAGUUAAAGUCAUCCUUGAAGAUGGUGUCAACUCUACAUUGUGGACCACCUUUGGAGCCAUUAUUAAGCAAGGUUUGAAGAGUAGUGUAGGAAUUUAGGCCAUUGUAUUAGGCCAUGUAGUGUAGGUUUGUUUAAGGCUUGUAUUAGGGCCUAAGUAGCAUAGGAUUUUCCUUAAAAUGUUAGGCAUCCAAACCAAGUGGAAAGUGUGUGACAUGUGUCAUGCUUCCAUUUGAGAGGAUUUGCUUUUUAAAAGGUAGCCACAUGGCACCUUAGGAGUGGAGAGUUUUUGCUUUUAGUAGUGGCCACAUGGCACUCUAGGAAUGGAGAAAAUUGUGUUUUGUGAGUGGCCACGUGUCCUCCCAUCAUUGGAGGUUAGAAGGCCUCAUUUUUUGCCAAUGAGAGCAAAGGUGGGAGAUCAUACUUUUAGGGUUAGAAGGAGACACCCUUGGCCUAUAAAUAGAGGUGUCUCCACCCUUGUAUUUCAUCUUUGAUUUUGAGUAAUGUUAUGCUGCCCAUUUUUGGCCAUACUACUCAUCUUAGAUCAAGACUAGAGCAACCCAUGAGGCCCUUCUAAUCACCUUCCUCCUUGAGUUGGCCUAACCUCUCUUGGAGCCAUCAAACACUACACCACCACCACCAUAUCUCCUAGAGGCUUUGAGCCUCUACCCCAUUCAUACCUUAACUCAUCAUCAUUGGACCAUUUACCACCACAUUUCUGCACCAUUCAUCCAAGGAAACACCCCUCCGUUGCAUCCUUCUAAGCUUUGGCCCAACCUAGCUUAAGGAGGUUGCCAUCACAACGAGAAACGCAAAUCAAAUGAAAAUCAAAAUAGAGACAGAGACAAAGUUACUUAGUUGUUGACGCGUGCUCGAAUCGAGCUCUGGUACCACUUGAUGGAAGACGCCUUGAGGAAAUGACCGAUUAGGGUGACACGAAAGUAGGUAAAGCUCCACUUUAAUGAGUAAGACCAAGUAUCGUUUCCCAAAGGACUCUUAGGCCUUAACUUUUGUGUAACCUAAUUGCGUAAGACUUGAGAAAAGAAUUAAAUUUAGGUUUUUGAAUGCAAGAACAAAAGUAAACAUGCAUAUGCAGUGAAUCAAUUAGCAAGGAAGAAAACUAUGAAUGAAUGGUGUUGUUGGGGUUUACAAUUUCAUCUUAUCCACUCUCUUAUAUUUACUCUUCUUAUUUAAUUUGCUUCUUUAUCAUAUUGUCAUGCAAAUUUUCUUAGUCUACCCUUAACCCAAUCUCUUGGCGAAAAGAGCUUAUUACUAAUUACCGACUUGCUAUCUCUAGCCUCCCCUAGUAACUAAUAAUGCAUGAUAAACGAAAGCAAAAUACAAUUGAUCGUCCUACCCCUAUCUCUAGGCGGUAUUAGCUUAAUCAAGGAAUUCCCCCAGCUCAUUACAUUAUCGUACGUCUUCGUAUCCAUAAAGACAAACAACAUUUACCGAAUGAGUUAAAUGAUAAAAGCAUUAAGCAAAGGUAAGGAACCCAAUGAUUGAAAAAUCAAGUAUAUGCAAGCAUAUAAAAUAAAUAAGAAUUUGGAUAUAUGAGAGUUUAAAAAGAUCAUAUUGUUCUCCAACAACAAAGGUUUUAGUUCACCAUAAUCAUGAUGAACUAGAUGAAAUACAAUGGAAGAAUGAAAUAAUAAACCCUAGAUUUAGUAGAUUAGAGCCUAAGCAUCCAAAAAAAUGAGUUUUGAAUUGCACUAGGGCUAUAUAUAGGCCAAAAAGAUAACAUAAUCUAGGCCAAAUAAACACAGAUAAUCGCUCAGUGGCUAAAUAAACCGCUCAGUUGUUUCCCUCUUGGCCGUGCAACUGCUCAGCAGUCAGUUUUACCGUUGAACGGUUUGCCUCUAAUCACCCUGGACGCUCAGCGGUCCAUUCUGACGCUCAACAGUUUCUUGACUCUUCUUUUCAUCAUUUUAUUCAUCUGUCAUGGGUCUAAGUCCACCUUGCUUUACUUCCAUCUUCAAUUCACCUCAAAACCCUGCAAAACAAUGUAAAAAUAAGCAUAAUAUCUCUAAAACCAACUUUUGACUCUUACAUGACUCAACUAAGUGUUUUACUUGAUUUUAACAUCAUUUUAAGCCAUAAAGGAUGUGCUUUGAUAUCAAAUUUAAGUAUGAAAAUAACGGGUUUUAGAUCGCUAUCAAGCAUCUCUUUUGGACUAUUUGUGUCUAGCUCUCUUCUUUAUUCUCACGUUAUUCUCUUUAUAGCCAUCGUACAACAACACCUAUUCUUGAUUUUCUAGCAUGAUCCUCCCAGUAUAGACACUAAAAAGAAAUUUUGAAGUUGCCAUAAAAGGUCUUCCCAGAAUCACUGGAACCUUUUCAUCAUUUUCCAGAUCCACAACCACAAAAUCAAUCAAGAACUCCAACUGCUCAAUACGAACAAUCGCAUCCUCCACCAUAGCAUAUGGCUUCAUAGUUGAGCCAUCCGCCAUUGUUAGAGAAAGUUUAGAUGGUUUUAAUACUAGCCCUCCGAUUUUUUUCAAAUAACGCAAAGGCAUCAUAUUAAUACUCGAUCCAGAAUCUAUCAUAGCUCCUCCUACAUCAACAUCAUUAACAACACAAGGCAGAGUCAAACACCCUAGAUCCUUCAUUUUUGGCGGAUGCAUCCUCUUUUUUGGUUGGAUAGAAAUUUCCUAUUCUUCUUCAUCACCCUCACUACUACUCAGCUCAAUAAUUUAUUUUUCUUCUUCCUCUUCACUACUCUUAACUUCAACAACUUCCUUUUCAGCUUUCCUUUUACUCCUUGUCAUAACAACUUUGCACUCCUCCUUAGGGUUAACAUCAGUAUUAGCCCUAAAUUGAUUCUUUUCUGUGGUCUCCUCCCUUUUUUACAAUUGACCAAUUUGCAUCUCCAAAGAUCUGAAACUGGCUUGGUCACCUGCAUGUUGAGACUCAUAAACCUUCAAAAAUUUAUCAAAUCUGUCAUGUAAGUCUCUGUCAAAUGAUUCACCUGCUACCACAAGGGUGAAGAUAGCUACGGCCUAUUAUUAAGGAAGCCUCCUUAUUGCCCAGAUGGGUUACUUUGAGAUUUCCAAUGCCAGGAUGGUUUUUCCAACCUUGACUAGAAUUUCCUUGGUUGAAAUUUCCCUGCCUAUACUGGAACUGGUUACCCAUAUAAUUAGCCUCCUAUUGAAUAUUUUCUGGCAUAGCACAUUGACCAUUAAUAUGGUCACCACCACAAAAGUCAUAAAGUUGUUGUGCAUUGGAGACAUUCCUAAUCUCCUUUGGAAGCUGAGAAAGGAUCUUUGUCAAAUUAUCCAGCUUUUGCGUAAGAAGAUGAUUUUAAGCUAGCAUGGCAUCAUCAGUAGGCAAAUACAAAACUCCCCUUUUUUGUACUGGUGCGCCCCUCUCACUGUAUCUCUCCUGUUCAUUUGCAGCCAUACUCUCGAUCAAAUCGUAGGAUUCACCCUCAGUCUUCCUCUUUAUGUCACCUUCAGCUGAGGAUCAAGCAUCAUCUUUGACUGAGUGUUUAAACCUCCAAGGUAUGCAAGAACUAGAGUGGUCUUGUCAAAACCGUGGACUAGCAUCUUCCUCAAUAAGACUUUAAAUCUUUCCCAGGCUUGACCAAGAGUUUCCUCCAUGCCCUGUUUAAAUGAAGAGAUUUCCAACCUUCCUUGGGUGACUUUUGAUUGUGGAAAAUAUUUACUCACAAAUUUUGACGCCACAGUCUCGCAUGUAGUAAACGUUCCCUCUAGAAAAGAGUGUAACCAUGUCUUAGCAUUGCCUCCCAGUGAGAAAGGAAACAAGCUAAGCUUUACUCUUUCAUUCGAUACUCCAUUCAUCUUGACAAUAUUACAAAUUUCACUAAACGUUGUCAAAUGAUCAUGAGGGUUCUCAUUUGACAAAUCGUGAAAUUGAUUGCCCUGUACAAGAUGGAUUAACGCAGGAUUCAUCCCCAUGUUGGUUGUAUUAUCUGUGGGCAUGACUAUACUAGUGAAGUGGAAUGGGCCCACAACAUUAGAUGCAUUACCAAGAGUGCGUGUGGGAGAAGGUUGCUCAUUUGCCAUCUCUUCUGAUUCUAGUGUACGAGCUUCUGGUGAGGGUGGUAACAAUCUUUUAGGAGAAGGAAACAACUCCCUAAAUGGGUGUCUAACUCUCCUUCCUCUCCUAUCUGAUAUUCCUUCUAGAAGCAGUUGUUGGCUUUUCUUACUUCUAGUACGAAUAGCUUCCUGCAUACACAAGAAACAAAUACCCUAGAAGCACUUUUUAUAAAAAUAAAAAUAAAAAUAAAAUAAAACAAAAACAAAAUAUAUACAAACAAGUCAAAUUCAAUCAAUUUACACUACUAGAAAAGUUAAACCAUGAGUCCUCAGUAGUAGCGCCAAAAACUUGUUAAGCCCCUGGCUAGUGUACCAGAUCAUUAUCAAGUAAUAUAUAAACGGUAAGUCCGGGUAUCGUUCUCCCAAAGGACUCUUAGGCCUUAACUUUCAUGUAAAUUGAUCUUAUAAAACUUGUAAAGAAAUAAACUUGUGGUGGAAUGCAAAGAACAAAAAUAAACAUGCAAAUGCAAGUGAUUCAAUUGGAAAGGAAAAGAUAUGGAUGAAUGGAGUUGUUGGGGUUUACAAUUUCAUCUUAUCCACUCUCUUAUAUCUACUCUUCUUGUUAAAUUCGCUUUAUUUUCUAAUUGUUAUGCAAACUUUCUUAGUCUACCCUAAACCCGAUCCCUGUUAACGGAUUGGCAAGCGUACCAAAUCGUAUCAAGUAAUAAUAAAUGGUAAGUCCAAGUAUCGUUUUCCCAAGAGACUCGAAAGGCCUAUCGUUCACGUGAAUUAAAAUUGUAAGACAUGAAAAUAAAAAAUAAUUAAUUGGAUGUGUGAAUAAAAUAUGAACAUGCAAAAGAGAUUGAUUCAAUUGACUAGAAGAAAACAAUGGAUGAAUGAAGUUGUUGGGGGUUUACAAUUUCAUCUUAUCCACUCUUUCUUAUUUACUCCUCUUGAUUUAUUAGUUUGAUUAAUUAAUUGUCAUGCAACUUUCUUAGCCUACUCUUAACCCAAUCCCUCGGUGAAAAGAGCCUAAUACUAAUUAUUGGCUUGCUAUCCCUAGCCUCCACUAGUAAUUAAUACAGCAUUAUAGAGCAGAAGUUAUAAACAAUUGAUCAUCCUACCCCUAUUCCUGGGUGGUAUUGCUUAAUCAAGGAAUUACUCACCAAUUCAUGACAUUAUUGUACGUCCCCGUAUCAAUAAAGAUAAACAUCAAUUAUCGAAUGAGUUAAACGAUAAAGGCAUUAAGCACAGAUGAGAACCCAACAAUUAAAAAUCAAAGCAUAUGGAAACCAUAUAAAUAAACAAGAGUUUCAAUAAAAGAGAGUGUCAAAAGAUUACAUUGUUUCCCAUAACAACAAUAGGGUUUAGUUCACCAUUGACAUGGUGAAUCUAAAUGAAAAAUGGAGGAAGAAUAAAAAAGCAAACCCUAGAUAAGAUGAAAAGGAGCCUAAGCAUCCAAGAGAUCCUCUCUAGAGAGUGAAAUUAGGUCUGGCCGCCCCUUCUGUCAAUAGAAUGCAUCUAAACUUGCAACAGGGCUAUUUAUAGGUGAGGAGUGCAACAGAAAACAGGCCCAAGCCCAGCAGACAACUGCCCGGCGGAACAAGUGUGGCUCCCGGUGGUUUCCCACAAAUCGCACUACCGCCCGGCGGUAAAGGUCUACCGCCCAGCGGUUUCCCUCAAAUCGCAAAACCGCCCAGCACUAACGCAAGGUGCCUACUCCUCGCCCUGGACCGCCCGGCGGUGGAAUUUGCCGCUGGGCUGUACGCCGACUCUUCAAUUCUUCAAUUUUCUUCUCUUUUCUUGAGUCUACGACUUUUAUCUUCAACUCCAUUCUUCAUUUUCUCAAAAAUGCUACAAAACAAUGUAAAACAAGCAUAAUAUCGCUAAAAACAGCUUUUGACUCUCUACAGACUCAUUUAUUGAGUUUUGCUUGAUUCUAAGCUCAUUCCAAGUAGUAAAGGGACUAAUUUGGUCUAAAAUGACAUGAAAAUAACUAUUUUUCAACCUUCAUCAACACCCUAAACUUAGAACUUUGCUUGUCCUCAAGCAAACAAAACAAAACAAUACACAAAACAAAGUUUGGCUUUAUACUAUUUCAUCCACUGUUUCAACAUUCCCAACGUACAUGACAAAACUACUCAAUCUUAAAUCUUCAUUGAAAUCAAAAUAAGAUGCAUGCAUGCUUUCAAUCCAGAGAUUGCACAACAGAUGUUACACAUUAUGAAUGACUAAUCCACUCAGCAAAAAUGCACUCAUGAGAAGUAAAAAUUCACUCAAUCACUCAAGUGUUUAAGGUAACACUCCAACUCUCUAUUAUUCACAAGUCACAUGGAACAAAAUUGUCAUUCAUCUCAAACAAUCAACCUCUUUACAUGCAAAUGCCAUCAAAAGGACAUUUUUCAAGGCUUAUAAUGAGGUUAGGCUAACAAAAAUAAUUGGUUUUUCUGGAAUGCAAAGUUCUUGAGUCAAGAGAGCUAUCAUAAUAUUCAACAUUUAAGCACAACUCUCUCCCUCACCAAUCUCUCUCAUUCCCAACUUUUUCCCUUUUCUUUUACAUUGAACUCACUUUCAUGCUUUUUUUUCUUUUCUUUUCUUUUUCUCAUGAAUUUUUCUUUUCACAACAAUUGAGCUCAAUGCUUUUCAUUUGCCUUCAAUUUCCCNCAUGCAACCCCAAACUUGAACCAUUCCAUCGCAUACAAUUAAGCUCAUCCCAACUCAAGGUAAAAAAUUUCAAGACAAGGGUUCACAUCCUGUUUAAGGCCAAGGUUGAAAAAGGGUAUAAUAUUUUCAAGCACUUUGGGUGAAAAUUUGGCUAGAGAAGGGUUCUCAAAAAUUGCCUUGAUCAUAUGAAAUUCAUAUGCAAUUCACUCAAUUAUCAAGAUUAAGGCAAUAUCAUUCAUGUUUUCCUGUGAACAAUGCAUACAACAAUAAAAACUCUGGAGCUCAAUACCUCACACAAAAUGCUUUCUCACACAAGAUUCAUUCAUACACCCUACUUAGCAUCAUAACCACAAUCAUAAUUCAUCACACAUCUGUUUCACUGGAUAUUAACACACAACACAGCUCAAUUAUCAUCCACAUCAAAUAAUCAUCAAAUAGUUCCAUCAUGCANAUCAAUCAGUCAAACAUUUUCAGAAAAAGUUUUCAAGCUAAGAAUACACACUGAAAUUAAAAUUCAACCUAUUCUAAGAAUUUAAAUAGUAGAAGUAAAAGAGAGAAAAUGAUACGCGGGGCCCAAGUCCAAUGUCUUUAGUGUAGUCUUUCUUUUAUGUACUGUAUAAAUAUGUUAGGUAUGUGGGACUUCUAGUCCUAUAUAUAGUCAUGCCUACACUUCUUGUACUUACUUUUAAGAUUAAUGAGAAUUAGAUUUCUGAAACCCAGAAUUAAUUCUCUCUUGAAAGUCAUAGGCUAGAGAGUCCAAAGAGUCCCUCUAGCCACCUUCCUUGCACAUUGCCUUUCCUCUCAUUUUCCAUAUUCAGAAUUCUCACUCCUCCACGGAAGCCAAUCCUUUCACGCCACUCGUUCCACUCCAAAGCCUACGUGUGGCAUACGUCAGCCUCGUAGCAGCUACAUCUUCAAAUCUUGCUGCCUACCCCGUAAGUCAUUUGCAUUUCUUCAUCUCCAAACCCUAAGUGUUUUCUCCCUCUCUGACGGCCUCCAUUGUUGGCUCGCCAUCACCAAAUCUGGACUCCAUCUCUAAUCCAAGUCCAGAACAGCCUCUUCCAUCAGGUUUGUCACCAUUCUACCGAUUCAAAACCUCAAUCUCCUCUAUCUCACCGAUUGAACCUAGCUUCGAGCAUUUUACACCGAUUAAAACAUUGAGAUCUUCCAUUUCACCGAUUCAAUCGGUGAAACCUUUCUUUUUACCAUUUAAAACCUUCCAAACGUCUAGCCCUAGCCUUUCCACCGAAUAAAUCACCAAACUUAGGGUUCAUAGCCAUCUUCUCCUGUAUUCC
rnacentral:lncRNA from 1 species